GACGAACGCUGGCGGCGUGCCUAAUACAUGCAAGUUGAGCGCUGAAGGUUGGUACUUGUACCAACUGGAUGAGCAGCGAACGGGUGAGUAACGCGUGGGGAAUCUGCCUUUGAGCGGGGGACAACAUUUGGAAACGAAUGCUAAUACCGCAUAAAAACUUUAAACACAAGUUUUAAGUUUGAAAGAUGCAAUUGCAUCACUCAAAGAUGAUCCCGCGUUGUAUUAGCUAGUUGGUGAGGUAAAGGCUCACCAAGGCGAUGAUACAUAGCCGACCUGAGAGGGUGGUCGGCCACAUUGGGACUGAGACACGGCCCAAACUCCUACGGGAGGCAGCAGUAGGGAAUCUUCGGCAAUGGACGAAAGUCUGACCGAGCAACGCCGCGGGAGUGAAGAAGGGUUUCGGAUCGUAAAACUCUGUUGGUAGAGAAGAACGUUGGUGAGAGUGGAAAGCUCAUCAAGUGACGGUAACUACCCAGAAAGGGACGGCUAACUACGUG
rnacentral:rRNA from 1 species